rnacentral:rRNA from 1 species
UACGUAGGGUGCGAGCGUUAAUCGGAAUUACUGGGCGUAAAGCGUGCGCAGGCGGUUCGUUGUGUCGGUGGUGAAAGCCCCGGGCUUAACCUGGGAAUGGCCGUCGAAACUGGCGAACUGGAGUGUGGCAGAGGGGGGGUGGAAUUCCGCGUGUAGCAGUGAAAUGCGUAGAGAUGCGGAGGAACACCGAUGGCGAAGGCAGCCCCCCUGGGCUGACACUGACGCUCAGGCACGAAAGCGUGGGGAGCAAACAGG